CAGUUACUUCUCUUCCAUGACUGGACUUCCAGCACUCUUAGAAGCUAGCGGGAAAGAGCUAAUCGCUGCCCAUGAGCCAACUGCACAGAUUCGAUGGAGAAAACCAUGAGGCUCUGCCCAAAUGUGUGUGGUCUAGUCUAGCCCAGACACUCACUCCUGCAAUUACAGAUGUCCACAACUUUCCUGCCUUGACUUUGCCCUCCUUGGAAUUUGGAAACAGAGAUAGUGAGAAAGAAGCUACUCCAGCAAAACCGCAUUGGCUUCUCCUGGAAAAGUCCAAGACACAGUCACUAGCGCGGUAGUCUAGAACUCAAUGUGCAGCCAAGGACGACCGUGAAGCUCUCAUCUUCACCUCCCAACUGCUAAGGACCACAAGCAUUUGUACACUAUUAUGCUCGGUUUUUGUGACGCGGAAACAAACCCAGGGCUUCACGAAUUCUAAGCAAGCACUCCACCAACUGAGCUACAUCCCUAGUCCCUAAAGGAGGCAAUUGCAAAUGUUCAUCUGGGGCUGGUUUCAAAUACGUAAAUUGUGGCAGAAAAUAAAAACAGCAUUGC